UGAUGAGGCUUUUUAGACGAUAUUUACAUCAGUUUGCGAUCAGCGUGACCUGUGAUUAGUGUUUGUGAUCCCCUCAUUGUGGUCAUUAACGUUUGGAAUACGACACAGACGACCCAUUCUGAUCAACAGUGAAAUAAUAUUUUUAGUGCACUUUAAAUUGUGACUUUUAGGCUGUUAUCUACUGCAAGUGACUACUUUAUUCAAGGCAACGAUUGUAUCGCAUUAGAUAUAAUGAUCUCACAUCUGGAGCCUUCAACAGUCGAUAUCGUAGUUUGCGAUGCCUCCGUCGAUAAAAGAACUCCCUGUCAUACCAGGAAUAGAGAUCCACCGCCAUCUGUUAGGAGACUGUUCAGAAUAAGCUGGUGGAAACAGAAGAUAAUGAACUCUCAGGAGAAGGGCCGCGACUCCAGGAGGAAAGCAGAACCCGCACACC